ensembl:snRNA U6 U6 spliceosomal RNA
AUGCUUACUUCAGCAGCACAUGUACUGAAUUGGAACAGUACAGAGAAGAUUGACACAGCCCUUGAGCAAAGAUGACAUGCAAGUUCUUGAGGUGUUUCAUAGAAAC